rnacentral:rRNA from 1 species
AUGGACCAGUCGGAGUCGUCGGACUCGGACCCGGAAAGGCACCCGCCGCCGUCGGACGGCACGAUGACCAUGUCGUACUCCCUGUCGAUUCUGGGCUCCCCGCGACUGCGCCGCUGGUUCUUGACCCUCCUCGGCCGCGUGCGGCGGCCGGCGGCGGCACUGGAGAAGGCGAUAGCGUCCGCCUCACGGAACCCGGAGGGGAACUCCGGGAAGGAGGCGCCCGUCAAGGCGAUGCCGGGGAGCUCGUGGUUGCCAACUCGCGCGGCGUUACCCGGCCAGAGCCAGUGUGUGAAUCGGCCGAGCCCCAUGGCCAUGGCCCCCAGAAAAAUGCCUUGCUCCUUGCGAAGCUCCGGGAUCGCUCCGAUCAGAUCAAAAAUUUCGGCAAAAUCAAAGGAAAACCGGUGUUCCCUGGAUCUGCCAAGUAAAACAAACACCUCAGAAAAAAGAAAAGAAAACCCAAUCUAUUUCUUGAAACAGACACAAUGGGUAACUUUUGGGCCACAGCAAAGCGUGGUAGCAAAUAAAGGUGCCGCCUUUCGAAACUAA